UACAGAGGGUGCGAGCGUUAAUCGGAAUUACUGGGCGUAAAGCGCGCGUAGGCGGCUUUGCAAGUCGGGUGUGAAAUCCCCAGGCUUAACCUGGGAAUGGCAUUUGGGACUGCAGGGCUGGAGUUUGGCAGAGGAGACUGGAAUUCCCGGUGUAGCAGUGAAAUGCGUAGAUAUCGGGAGGAAUACCGAUGGCGAAGGCAGGUCUCUGGGCUAUAACUGACGCUCAUGCACGAAAGCGUGGGGAGCAAACAGG
rnacentral:rRNA from 1 species